rnacentral:rRNA from 1 species
UGACGAGCGGCGGACGGGUGCGUAACACGUAGGAAUCUGCCCGGUAGUGGGGGAUAGCCCGGAGAAAUUCGGAUUAAUACCGCAUACGCCCUAAGGGGGAAAGCAGGGGAUCGGUUCGCCGACCUUGCGCUAUCGGAUGAGCCUGCGUCGGAUUAGCUAGUUGGUGGGGUAAAGGCCCACCAAGGCGACGAUCCGUAGCUGGUCUGAGAGGAUGAUCAGCCACACUGGGACUGAGACACGGCCCAGACUCCUACGGGAGGCAGCAGUGGGGAAUAUUGCACAAUGGGCGAAAGCCUGAUGCAGCCAUGCCGCGUGUGUGAAGAAGGCCCUAGGGUUGUAAAGCACUUUCAGUGGGGAGGAAAGGUUGAAGGUUAAUACCCUUCAGCUGUGACGUUACCCACAGAAGAAGCACCGGCUAACUCCGUGCCAGCAGCCGCGGUAAUACGGAGGGUGCGAGCGUUAAUCGGAAUUACUGGGCGUAAAGCGUGCGUAGGCGGCUUUUUAAGUUGGAUGUGAAAGCCCCGGGCUUAACCUGGGAACUGCAUCCAAAACUGGAAGGCUUGAGUGCGAGAGAGGAGUGUGGAAUUUCCUGUGUAGCGGUGAAAUGCGUAGAUAU